rnacentral:rRNA from 1 species
UUACACAUGCAAGUCGAGCGGGGAAGAGUAGCUUGCUACUUUACCUAGCGGCGGACGGGUGAGUAAUGCUUAGGAAUCUGCCUAUUAGUGGGGGACAACAUUCCGAAAGGGAUGCUAAUACCGCAUACGUCCUACGGGAGAAAGCAGGGGACCUUCGGGCCUUGCGCUAAUAGAUGAGCCUAAGUCGGAUUAGCUAGUUGGUGGGGUAAAGGCCUACCAAGGCGACGAUCUGUAGCGGGUCUGAGAGGAUGAUCCGCCACACUGGGACUGAGACACGGCCCAGACUCCUACGGGAGGCAGCAGUGGGGAAUAUUGGACAAUGGGGGGAACCCUGAUCCAGCCAUGCCGCGUGUGUGAAGAAGGCCUUAUGGUUGUAAAGCACUUUAAGCGAGGAGGAGGCUACCUAGAUUAAUACUCUAGGAUAGUGGACGUUACUCGCAGAAUAAGCACCGGCUAACUCUGUGCCAGCAGCCGCGGUAAUACAGAGGGUGCGAGCGUUAAUCGGAUUUACUGGGCGUAAAGCGUGCGUAGGUGGCUAAUUAAGUCAAAUGUGAAAUCCCCGAGCUUAACUUGGGAAUUGCAUUCGAUACUGGUUAGCUAGAGUAUGGGAGAGGAUGGUAGAAUUCCAGGUGUAGCGGUGAAAUGCGUAGAGAUCUGGAGGAAUACCGAUGGCGAAGGCAGCCAUCUGGCCUAAUACUGACACUGAGGUACGAAAGCAUGGGGAGCAAACAGGAUUAGAUACCCUGGUAGUCCAUGCCGUAAACGAUGUCUACUAGCCGUUGGGGUCUUUGAGACUUUAGUGGCGCAGCUAACGCGAUAAGUAGACCGCCUGGGGAGUACGGUCGCAAGACUAAAAACUCAAAUGAAUUGACGGGGGCCCGCACAAGCGGUGGAGCAUGUGGUUUAAUUCCGAUGCAACGCGAAGAACCUUACCUGGGCCUUGACAUUAGUAGAAACUUUCCAGAGAUUGAAUGGUGCCUUUCGGGAAUCUACAUACAGGGUGCUGCAUGGCUGUCGUCAGCUCGUGUCGU